rnacentral:lncRNA from 1 species
UCUCCGGCACCGGUGAAGCUGUGCCGACCGAAACCCUUAUUUCGCCCCUCUUUGCUCAGCAAAACCCACCACCACAACCGCCGUCAUCUAACCCCUCUGAUCUUCAUUUUCACACCAUCGUUGCCAUUAACUACCACACCCUCUCUCUACUUUGCAACCAUUUCUUGUUCAAAAUCAAGAUGUAGAAAAACGAGAAGGGAAUAUGAAUGUAGAAACAUUUUUUUUGGUGAUGCUGAGAUAUCAGAUUUGGAAACAGUGGUGA